UACGGGGGGGGGCAAGCGUUGUUCGGAAUUACUGGGCGUAAAGGGUGCGUAGGCGGUUCUCUAAGUCGGAUGUGAAAACUCUGGGCUCAACCCAGAGCCUGCAUCCGAAACUGGAGGGCUAGAGUUCUGGAGGGGGUAGCGGAAUUCCUGGUGUAGCGGUGAAAUGCGUAGAUAUCAGGAGGAACACCGGUGGCGAAGGCGGCUACCUGGACAGAGUCUGACGCUGAGGCACGAAAGCUAGGGGAGCAAACAGG
rnacentral:rRNA from 1 species